UCCUUGGUGCUGCUAUGAGGCCUUGAUGGGUGGCACCCAGGAACACCAACAUGGACCAGGAAGCUAUUGGAGCUUGCUCCUGCCCACCAUAGGCCACGUACUCACCUUGGGGCAUUGGAGCAUCCCACCAGGGCUGCCUGCAGCCUCUGGGCGAGCCAGAACUGGGAUGAAAUGUCCCAUCACCGAAAUCGGUGGCUCUGCAGAGCCGUUUGUUAUGGAGUUGCUCCAUCUCGUGGCUGCAGGGGAAAUGAGAAACACAGCUUCAGCCCUGCGAUGCCUAUCUGGGGCUGGUCACCCGGAGGAACCGCUUAUCCUGUAGCUCAGACAGCUUAUCCCACAACUUGCUUCCACCAGCAGAGCACUGGACUGCUUGUCUUCACCACCCUCUGUGUUUGCUCCACUGUCCACACCGUGGACAGCCCAGGAGCGAUGAGAAAACAGAGAACCAAAAGCUCUGAUGGUGAUGGGCGGAGGGGGACAAAGCACAGAAAGAGCUGAAAUGGAGCUUUUUGGUGUCCUCUGGAAGGAUCCAACGGCUUGAGGGAGGCACCAGCAAACCUUGGCUGUGCACCAGGGCCAAGAGAGUCCCAGCCGAGAAUGAUCCUUUCAACACUGGAGGAGCUAAAUCUGCUGCUUGAGAGAGGAGUGCCGAAGUGCACGUAUGACUCUAGGAAAGUAACUGCGUAACUGGCCCUCCUUUCCAAAAGGCGCUUGUACACUUUUCAAGCCAACUGGGCUGCUCGUACGGCUGAGGAACGGUGUCCUUCUGGGGUGCACCCCGUGGUGACUGGGAGAGUCUCGAUCAGACCCCGCACGGCUCCGUUGCUUCUUAACA